UGGCGCGUAGCUCAGGGGGAGAGCGCUACGUUGACACCGUAGAGGUCGGCGGUUCAAUUCCGCCCGCGCCAA
rnacentral:tRNA from 1 species